UAUAUAGAAUCAUAUUCAAAACAGUGUGGUCCUGGCCAUUGAUUGACGACCUAAAUUAUCCCAUUGACUGUGACAGAUUAGGUGAACGUUUGUCUGUAACGACCAUUGCUCACUUCUUACUUAUUAUAGAAUUCAAACUGUGGGGUCACCAAAGGUUCUUAACGCCUUUAAUAAUAAAAUAAUUCGAAAAAAUAUUCAGGAAUAACCUUUAUGUUUUGAUUUAUAUUAUUGAUAUAAAUCAACACAUCGUAUUAUUCCGGAUUCGUAUCUCGAACUGCUUUAUUUAGGUGUUGAGAACCUUUGGUGACCCCACAGAUUCAGUGUCUUUAAAAAGUACAUAGUGAGCAGUGAUUGUUACCGACAAACGUUCACCUAAUCUGUCCCAGUCAAUGGGAUAAUUUAGGUCGUCAAUCAAUGGCCAGGACC
rnacentral:lncRNA from 1 species